GAUAAACGCUAGCGGCAGGCCUAACACAUGCAAGUCGAGGGGCAGCGCGGGGUAGCAAUACUCUGGCGGCGACCGGCGGACGGGUGCGCAUCGCGUGAGCAACCUACCUCUUUCAGGGGGAUAACCCGGCGAAAGCCGGCACUAAGACCGCANGNUCNUGUAANGUAAGGCAUCUUACUUACAGCAAAUAUUUAUAGGGAAGAGAUGGGCUCGCGUCCCAUUAGCUAGUUGGCGGGGUAACGGCCCACCAAGGCGACGAUGGGUAGGGGUUCUGAGAGGAUUCACCCCCACACCGGAACUGAGACACGGUCCGGACUCCUACGGGAGGCAGCAGUGAGGAAUAUUGGACAAUGGGCGGAAGCCUGAUCCAGCCAUGCCGCGUGCAGGAAGACGGUGCUAUGCGUUGUAAACUGCUUUUGUUCGNGAGCAAUGGCGCCUACGAGUAGGCGUUUGAGAGUACCGUUCGAAUCAGCACCGGCUAACUCCGUGCCAGCAGCCGCGGUAAUACGGAGGGUGCGAGCGUUAUCCGGAUUUAUUGGGUUUAAAGGGUGCGCAGGCGGCCUUGUAAGUCAGCGGUGAAAUUUUCCGGCUCAACCGGGACAGCGCCNUUGAUACUGCAGGGCUUGAGCGCGAGCGAGGCUGGCGGAAUGCGCGGUGUANCGGUGAAAUGCUUANAUAUCNCGCAGAACUCCGAUUGCGAAGGCAGCUGGCUAGCUCGCCGCUGACGCUCAGGCACGACAGCGUGGGGAUCAAACAGGAUUAGAUACCCUGGUAGUCCACGCCGUAAACGAUGAGCGCUCGCUGCCCGUGCGUUACGCAUGGGUGGCCAAGAGAAAUCGUUAAGCGCUCCACCUGGGGAGUACGGCCGCAAGGCUGAAACUCAAAUGAAUUGACGGG
rnacentral:rRNA from 1 species